rnacentral:rRNA from 1 species
UACGUAGGGUGCAAGCGUUGUCCGGAAUUAUUGGGCGUAAAGAGCUCGUAGGCGGUUUGUCGCGUCUGCUGUGAAAACUCAGGGCUUAACUCUGAGCUUGCAGUGGGUACGGGCAGACUAGAGUGCGGUAGGGGGAGACUGGAAUUCCUGGUGUAGCGGUGAAAUGCGCAGAUAUCAGGAGGAACACCGGUGGCGAAGGCGACAUCCUGGACCGGUAUUGACGCUGAGACGGCGAAAAGCAUGGGGGAGCGAACAGG